GGUAGUCCACACCGUAAACGUUGGGCGCUAGGUGUGGGGCCUAUUCCAUGGGUUCCGUGCCGCAGCUAACGCAUUAAGCGCCCCGCCUGGGGAGUACGGCCGCAAGGCUAAAACUCAAAGGAAUUGACGGGGCCCGCACAAGCGGCGGAGCAUGCGGAUUAAUUCGAUGCAACGCGAAGAACCUUACCUGGGUUUGACAUACGCCGGAAAGCCUCAGAGAUGAGGCCCCUUUAUUGUCGGUGUACAGGUGGUGCAUGGCUGUCGUCAGCUCGUGUCGUGAGAUGUUGGGUUAAG
rnacentral:rRNA from 1 species